UACGUAGGGGGCAAGCGUUGUUCGGAUUCAUUGGGCGUAAAGGGUGCGUAGGUGGCGGGGUAAGUCAGGUGUGAAAUCUCGAGGCUCAACCUCGAAACUGCACUUGAUACUGCCUUGCUAGAGUACUGGAGAGGAGAUUGGAAUUUACGGUGUAGCAGUGAAAUGCGUAGAUAUCGUAAGGAAGACCAGUGGCGAAGGCGGGUCUCUGGACAGUUCCUGACGCUGAGGCACGAAGGUCAGGGGAGCAAACGGG
rnacentral:rRNA from 1 species